GUUACAAAGGGCAGCACAAUCUAUGGCUGGGAUGCUGGACUGGAACUUGAGAGCUCUGGGUUCUCUUCUAAAGCUCUGCUGUUGACUUUUGGUAUGGCCUUGGGGAUGAGAGAGUCCAGUUCCUCCAGAACACGCUCAUGGGUGGCAAGGCAGCUCCAUCUGUUUGUUGUUUCAAGAAGAAAGAUGAUUAUGCUGGAGAUACUUUUCCGUAAACCUACCCCACUGCCACAGAGAGCAUCAGGCAGCCAAGUGGAAGCACGUGGGCUGGAGAUUAAACACCCUCCAGUCAACUGGAGUCCCACAGCAGUAGACAAGCAGCAGCAGAUUUGAGGCCUUCCAAGUCAGAUUCCCAGUGGAGAAGAGAUCUGGUUCAUUCUACGUGCUUUUUGUUCACACACCUCUGCACCAGUCCUGGCACACACAUGGUCAAAACAGCA